GGACGUGACCCCAGAAGCUAUGGGUGUGACGGCCAUGAAUAGGGUGGAGUUUGGUUUGUGUGCUUAAAUCUCCCACAUACACUCAGAAAGUGGCCUGGAGGGGGUGAUGUCACUUAGUAAGAAUGUGAUCCAUUCAACUGGAGGAAUUGGCAAGUAGGACUUCUAGGCAAUAGCCCUCACCCCAUCCAAUCAACUGAAUGCACCUUGUCACCAGAGCUGGCUAUACAAUGUAUCAGACAGUGUGGAAGACACUAACUCAUAUUCGUGAUUACUUACGCUCUGUUUGCUGUACAGAGACACAAGAUCGAUAGAAUGUUUCUCUGUGGAGAGAGGAUCUGUUUGUUUUUUCUUUUCAGAACAGGGAAUGUGUUCAGGACAAUAUGUUCCUAGCUCGCCAGAUUUCUAUAUGCAUUAGUUUGAC